CUUGUAACUCAGUAAGGGGUCAAACUCAAAAGAGCAGAGCACUAUCUAUUUCUUGUUUUUGGAACAUAAAGAGUGCUAGCUCUUAACUUAUUGAAUAAAUUUGAACACAAAGAUAUACAUGCAUUCCCAUGCAUUAUGAAAUUUACCAUGUUUCAACUAUUUAAAAGUUCAAACAAAUUCGUUAUGGAAGUGCACAUCAAUUUUCAUACAACUGAAAAAUUAAUAUAACAUGGAGAGUUCAGAUGUUCUAGCUGGACAGUGGUGG
rnacentral:lncRNA from 1 species